rnacentral:rRNA from 1 species
AGAGUUUGAUCCUGGCUCAGGACGAACGCUGGCGGCGUGCCUAACACAUGCAAGUCGAACGGAGUAUUCAGCAAUGGAUACUUAGUGGCGAACGGGUGAGUAACGCGUAGACAACCUGCCUCUCAAUUGGGGACAACACCGCGAAAGUGGUGCUAAUACCGAAUGUGGUAUCUUCGUUGCAUGACGGAGAUAAGAAAGAUGGCCUCUCUAUAGAAGCUAUCGUUGAGAGAUGGGUCUGCGUCUGAUUAGCUAGUUGGUGAGGUAAUGGCUCACCAAGGCGACGAUCAGUAGCCGGUCUGAGAGGAUGAACGGCCACACUGGGACUGAGACACGGCCCAGACUCCUACGGGAGGCAGCAGUGGGGAAUCUUCCGCAAUGGACGAAAGUCUGACGGAGCAACGCCGCGUGAGUGAAGAAGGCCUUCGGGUCGUAAAGCUCUGUCGUUUGGGACGAACGUAUCAUGUGUGAAUAAUGCAUGGUAAUGACGGUACCAAAGGAGGAAGCCACGGCUAACUACGUGCCAGCAGCCGCGGUAAUACGUAGGUGGCAAGCGUUGUCCGGAAUUAUUGGGCGUAAAGGGCGUGUAGGUGGCCUGUU